CCUACGGGGGGCAGCAGUGGGGAAUAUUGGACAAUGGGGGGAACCCUGAUCCAGCGACGCCGCGUGAGUGAAGAAGUAUUUCGGUAUGUAAAGCUCUAUCAGCAGGGAAGAAAGAAAUGACGGUACCUGACUAAGAAGCCCCGGCUAACUACGUGCCAGCAGCCGCGGUAAUACGUAGGGGGCAAGCGUUAUCCGGAUUUAAUGGGUGUAAAGGGAGCGUAGACGGCGAUGCAAGUCUGAAGUGAAAGGCGGGGGCCCAACCCCUGGACUGCUUUGGAAACUGUAUGGCUGGAGUGCAGGAGAGGUAAGUGGAAUGCCUGGUGUAGCGGUGAAAUGCGUAGAUAUUAGGAAGAACACCAGUGGCGAAGGCGGAUUACUGGACGACAACUGACGGUGAGGCGCGAAAGCGUGGGGAGCAAACAGGAUUAGAUACCCGAGUAGUC
rnacentral:rRNA from 1 species